rnacentral:rRNA from 1 species
CUACAGGCUUAACACAUGCAAGUCGAGGGGCAGCAUGGUCUUAGCUUGCUAAGGCCGAUGGCGACCGGCGCACGGGUGAGUAACACGUAUCCAACCUGCCGUCUACUCUUGGACAGCCUUCUGAAAGGAAGAUUAAUACAAGAUGGCAUCAUGAGUCCGCAUGUUCACAUGAUUAAAGGUAUUCCGGUAGACGAUGGGGAUGCGUUCCAUUAGAUAGUAGGCGGGGUAACGGCCCACCUAGUCUUCGAUGGAUAGGGGUUCUGAGAGGAAGGUCCCCCACAUUGGAACUGAGACACGGUCCAAACUCCUACGGGAGGCAGCAGUGAGGAAUAUUGGUCAAUGGGCGAGAGCCUGAACCAGCCAAGUAGCGUGAAGGAUGACUGCCCUAUGGGUUGUAAACUUCUUUUAUAAAGGAAUAAAGUCGGGUAUGGAUACCCGUUUGCAUGUACUUUAUGAAUAAGGAUCGGCUAACUCCGUGCCAGCAGCCGCGGUAAUACGGAGGAUCCGAGCGUUAUCCGGAUUUAUUGGGUUUAAAGGGAGCGUAGAUGGAUGUUUAAGUCAGUUGUGAUAGUUUGCGGCUCAACCGUAAAAUUGCAGUUGAUACUGGAUAUCUUGAGUGCAGUUGAGGCAGGCGGAAUUCGUGGUGUAGCGGUGAAAUGCUUAGAUAUCACGAAAAACUCCGAUUGCGAAGGCAGCCUGCUAAGCUGCAACUGACAUUGAGGCUCGAAAGUGUGGGUAUCAAACAGGAUUAGAUACCCUGGUAGUCCACACGGUAAACGAUGAAUACUCGCUGUUUGCGAUAUACUGCAAGCGGCCAAGCGAAAGCGUUAAGUAUUCCACCUGGGGAGUACGCCGGCAACGGUGAAACUCAAAGGAAUUGACGGGGGCCCGCACAAGCGGAGGAACAUGUGGUUUAAUUCGAUGAUACGCGAGGAACCUUACCCGGGCUUAAAUUGCAGAUGAAUUACGGUGAAAGCCGUAAGCCGCAAGGCAUCUGUGAAGGUGCUGCAUGGUUGUCGUCAGCUCGUGCCGUGAGGUGUCGGCUUAAGUGUCAUAACGAGCGCAACCCUUGUUGUCAGUUACUAACAGGUUCCGCUGAGGACUCUGACAAGACUGCCAUCGUAAGAUGUGAGGAAGGUGGGGAUGACGUCAAAUCAGCACGGCCCUUACGUCCGGGGCUACACACGUGUUACAAUGGGGGGUACAGAGGGCCGCUACCACGCGAGUGGAUGCCAAUCCCCAAAACCUCUCUCAGUUCGGACUGGAGUCUGCAACCCGACUCCACGAAGCUGGAUUCGCUAGUAAUCGCGCAUCAGCCACGGCGCGGUGAAUACGUUCCCGGGCCUUGUACACACCGCCCGUCAAGCCAUGGGAGCCGGGGGUACCUGAAGUGCGUAACCGCGAGGAGCGCCCUAGGGUAAAACUGGUGACUGGGGCUA